AGUGAACGCUGGCGGUAGGCCUAACACAUGCAAGUCGAACGGCAGCACAGUAAGAGCUUGCUCUUACGGGUGGCGAGUGGCGGACGGGUGAGGAAUACAUCGGAAUCUACUUUUUCGUGGGGGAUAACGUAGGGAAACUUACGCUAAUACCGCAUACGACCUACGGGUGAAAGCAGGGGAUCUUCGGACCUUGCGCGAUUGAAUUAGCCGAUGUCGGAUUAGCUAGUUGGCGGGGUAAAGGCCCACCAAGGCGACGAUCCGUAGCUGGUCUGAGAGGAUGAUCAGCGAAACGGGAACUGAGACACGGACCAGACUCCUACGGGAGGCAGCAGUGGGGAAUAUUGGACAAUGGGCGAAAGCCUGAUCCAGCAAUACCGCGUGGGUGAAGGAGGCCUUCGGGUUGUAAAGCCCUUUUGUUGGGAAAGAAAAGCAGCAGGUUAAUACCCCGCUGUUCUGACGGUACCAAAAGAAUAAGCACCGGCUAACUUCGUG
rnacentral:rRNA from 1 species